CCUACGGGAGGCAGCAGUGGGGAAUCUUGCACAAUGGGGGAAACCCUGAUGGAGCGACGCCGCGUGAGUGAUGAAGUAUUUCGGAACGUAAAGCUCUGUUAGCAGGGAAGAACAUGUCGGUACGUGACUAUGCAGAUCCGGCCAACUCCGUGCCAGCAGCCGCGGGAAUACGUAGGGGGAAAGCGUUAGCCGGAUUUACUGGGGGUAAAGGGAGCGUAGACGGCAGGGCAAGUCUGGAGUGAAAGGCGGCGGCUCAACCCCAGGAGUGCACUGGAAACUGCAAGGCUGGAGUGCAGAAGAGGAAAGUGGAAUUCCAUGUGUAGCGGUGAAAUGCGUAGAGAUAAGGAGGAACACCAGUGGCGAAGGCGACUUACUGGACUGUAACUGACGUUGAUGUUCGAAAGCGUGGGGAUCAAACAGGAUUAGAUACCCUUGUAGUC
rnacentral:rRNA from 1 species